CCCACGACACCACUCCGUGGAGCACUCCAUCACAUGUCAUUGGACCCCCCGGAGUCACCCUGUGCAUCAAAGAGAUGAAUUAUUAUUGCAGUGGGUAACCGGCGCAGAUCAUGUUGUCAGUGAUUUGGAGAGGAUAUGCAUUAAAGCAUGCAUCAUCACUCAGGAGAGGGACAUCCAGGCACUGCAGCAUAUGAGGUGGGCAGCAGAGAACACCCACUCUGGCGACAGGAGUGCCCCUCCGCAGACGUUGUACCCAGUAAAGAGAGACACUUGGUAGGGCACUGAGUUUCUGGGACACUCGUACCCGCCGACUAUCCUGUCAUUGUCCUUCAGUGCAGCUGCAGCUAAAAUUGACAAACCAUCAAAAAUAAUCCAUCAACCUAUCAGCAUAUGUACGGAGGAUAUUAAAAGUCUA